AUUUGCACCUUAUGGUGAUGGCGUCACGAAUCAGGGGCCCAGCCGUACAAUCACCCUAAACAUCACCAUCAAGGGCACCUUAACCAACAUCUGGCUGGUCUUCCCUGUAACCAGAAUGCCCUGGAGGAUUUUGUGCUGUCUUCCCGUCACCUGUACGCCAGCCCAGGGAGGCUCUGCUAACCCUCCUUACCAUCCUUCACCGGCAGAAUGGUUUGAAGAGGAUGGUCCAGAGGAUGUUCUUCUUUCCUCUCAGUAGUCUCAUCCUGCUGCAACCGGGAUGUCUCUGCCUCCUCUCGCUCUCUCUUGGCCUUCUCCACCGGCAGGUCUUCGCACAGUUGGCUUGCCAUCAUCAAUGCCGG